rnacentral:rRNA from 1 species
AUUGAACGCUGGCGGCAGGCCUAACACAUGCAAGUCGAGCGGGGUUUUCGGACCUAGCGGCGGACGGGUGAGUAAUGCGUAGGAAGCUACCCGAUAGAGGGGGAUACCAGUUGGAAACGACUGUUAAUACCGCAUAAUGUCUACGGACCAAAGUGUGGGACCUUCGGGCCACAUGCUAUCGGAUGCGCCUACGUGGGAUUAGCUAGUUGGUGAGGUAAUGGCUCACCAAGGCGACGAUCCCUAGCUGGUUUGAGAGGAUGAUCAGCCACACUGGAACUAAGACACGGUCCAGACUCCUACGGGAGGCAGCAGUGGGGAAUAUGGACAAUGGGCGCAAGCCUGAUCCAGCCAUGCCGCGUGUGUGAAGAAGGCCUUCGGGUUGUAAAGCACUUUCAGUAGGGAGGAAGCGUUGUGUGUUAAUAGUACACAGCGUUGACGUUACCUACAGAAGAAGCACCGGCUAACUCUGUGCCAGCCGCCGCUGUAACAC